rnacentral:tRNA from 1 species
GAGGGUAUAGCUCAAGUGGUAGAGUGCAUGCUUAGCAUGCAUGAGGUCCUGGGUUCAAUCCCUGGUGUCUCCU